CUCAAUUCUUAAAAUGUACCAGUCACUAUUCAGUAGAAUUUUCUGUGAUGAUGGAAGUAUUUUACAUUGUCCAACACAGUAAGUUCCUAACCACAAAUGACUGCUAAGCAUUUGAAAUGUGGCUAGAAGGAUCAAGGAAUUGAAUUUUUAAAUGUAAUUUACUUACUUAUUUUCCUCCAGGGUUAUUGCUGGGGCUUGGUGCCUGCACCACGAAUCCGCUAUUCCUAUUGGCUAUUUUUUCCCCUUUUGUUGCCCUUGUUUUUUUUUUAUCAUUGUUGUGGUUAUUAUUAUUGUUGUUAUUGAUGUCAUUGUUGGAUAGGACAGAGAGAAAUGGAGAGAGGAGGGGAAGACAGAGAGGGGGAGAGAAAGACAGACACCUGCAACACUGCUUCACCAUUCACGAAAGAGCACCUGAGUCCUCAAACAUGGGAAACAAAGGCAGAGAGAGAGGAGAGACACCACAGCACUGUUCCACUACUCUCAAAGCUACCUCUUUGCAUGGUGAUCCCAUGUGGCAGACUAUAUGAUGGGGGCUCGAACCCAGAUCUCUGUGCAUGGCAAUGAAGAUUUGUCAGUGAACAAAACAGACAAAAACCUCUUCAGAAGUCUACAUGUCUAGUGAUGGAAACUGACAGUAGGAUUGGUCUUCACAGGAGAAUGAGCGAAAAGGAAAUGGAAACACUGGGAGUGACAAUUAAUCCUUCAAGAAGUAGUGAUGUGAACAGAAGCACCGAAGUGGGAAAUAGCAUCCAGAGACUAGAAUCUCAAGAAAGUGGUGGCGUUUGUGUUAUUUAAAUAAAAGAUUUUACAGCAAG